AGAGAUGAGAGGAGUGGAUGACAGC
rnacentral:miRNA from 1 species